AAAAAAAAGAGAAUCUCUCUCUGGAUAUUCAAGAAUGGGGCUGGCAAUUCAAGUACCAAAACCCAUCAACAAUGUCUGUUUCAUGUUGCAAGACUUCGGGCUGGAUCAUCCAAAGAUCCGAUCUGUGUCAGUUUACCCUAGGUUAUGCUUAAAGUCAUGCCGUUUCUCUUUCUCUUCUUCGGAGUACAGGAUUCCGUUGGCUUCUCCGACGCAGUUUCGACCGGCUCCCCAUCGCCAGCAGAAAUGUUUUCCUGUGCCGGUUAACGAGGCAGAACCUUUCUGUGUCCCCAUCGGUGUCUCUAGCAGAACUAUAGGCUUUUGACGCGACCUGCUCGAAUGAAGGUCCCUGUGAGGAGCGUUCUUGGUCCUGUCUGCGACAGAUUUAGAGACUUGUCUGAUGAUCUCUUGGUUAUGGCUGAGCCUGUGGUGGUGAAGAUGAGAACAACUGAGAAUUCACUCCCACAUGGGUCUUUGGCCGGCGAACGUUUUUCUUCAUUAUGUUGGAAAGUACCUUACGAAGAAGAAUCAGAAGCCACUUUUCCAAGCGCUCCAGAAAGUCAAAGAAGAAUUUAUGCUGAUUGGUUUUAUAUCUCUGCUUCUGACAGUAUCGCAAACUGGCAUCACUAAAAUCUGCGUUCAUCCGAGCUGGACUCGCCAUUAGCUUCCCUGUGGGCUGGGGAGAAAGAACACAAACAAUCAGAUGUUCGUGAAAGAUUUGGUUUAGAUGGUGUGGAAAAAAACACAAAAAAGCCUACCCUUUUUCGCUUUCUUGCUUUGCUUGCCUUCGAGGUAUUUGGAGCAGAUCAGGUGCAUGUUGCUAUGAUGGAGGUUGGAUUAGGUGGUAAUUAUGAUGUAACAAAUAUGGUUCGAAACAAAAAUGCCAAAAAGAAUGUAAUCUUUUGCAAACAAGUAAUUGUCUUGGAGCUGAUACUCUGAUUGAAAUGUUAAAGAAUUGCUGUCGAAACCGUGAGAUCAAUAAGUCAAUUACUGUGGGUGUGACUGGCCUGCCAAAUGUUGGCAUUAAGAUCUUGAAGAGAAGCCAUGUUGUCAAUAUCGUUGCUACCCCUCGUUUAACUAGAUCAAUAUGAGAGGUGCAAUUAGACAAAAAUGUAAGUUGUUGGAUUGCCCUGGUGGUGUUAGGCUAAAGUCUCAAGAAAAUUAUGCUUCCAUAGUCUUAAUAAAUUGCUGGUGUUGCAGCUUUUAUUGUGCCUCACCCUGAUGAAGCCAUUAUAUUGUUGUUGUGCCAUGUGGAUUGUUUCAAAUGUGGGAUGCGGUUGCCUAGUUGGAUUCACUUUUUCUUUUUUCUUUUUUUUUUUUAUGAUAAGGAAAAUUAUAUUAAUCAAAGAUUGAGAUUCAUGAAAAUGGAAAAGGCAAGAAAGUUUUCAUUAGGAAAUUGACCAAAAGAUAGAAUUGAAAAGAAAAUUUUGGAGAAAUGACUGCCACAGUAAUAAUUGUUUCGAUUAAUUGACAAUUGUGGGUUGCUUCUUGAGAAGGUUCCCAGGCAAAUAAAAUUCUUCCAGCGGCUUUGACUGAACAAACUUGUGUUUCUGCUGUUGGGGGAAAAUCUAGUGUAGAAAUGAAUCCAGUGAAGAACAAUUCUAAGAGCCAUGGGAGUUCGAUUGUGGAUUCUUUUGUUUCUUGUGCGUGUGAGAUAUCUACUUAAAAACUCUGGAAGGAUGUCCCUCUGUGGAAGCAAUGAAGAGAAGCCAAGUUUGUUGUUUCUUCUUCUUUUUGAAAAUCUGCAAGCUCCAGUCAGAGUUGAGCAGGGAGGCUAAGAUUGCCUGGUGGGAUUCACAUGAAUUGUUAACAUUUAUUUGGAUCUGCAUCUUCUUCGCAUCUAUUUUGAAGUCUGUAAGAUGUUCUUCAUAUUGUACAUUUAGCGGGAGGGCAAGCACGGUUCUUCUUUCGGAUAUGAUAUCUCCAUAAAAGUUUUAUUCAUAAGUUUGUUGUCGUUGUCAUUGGUUUAAUUCACUUCACUUGUAUUUUGCUUUGGCAAGUUGGAAACCUAAUUGAUGUGAACUUGAGGGGUUGUUGGAUUAGUCAAGGUGAUUAGUGUUAAUUACCUACUAGUUGGUGAUUCUAAAAUUUAUAUAAAGGAUAUAACAUUGUAUUAGUGGUAAGAGGUUGAAUCUUACUUAAAGUGCGAGGGUAACAUAAGUCCUCACCUUAUAUGCCAUCAGGGGUUUUGGGUUUUGGGGUUGGUUUGUCAUCUUUCAACCCAUGAUUAUGUUAUUUUUUGUAAAUUAAAUUUAUUAUCUUCAUUGUCAUUUGUUAUGUUGAUUGA